GACGAACGCUGGCGGCGUGCCUAAUACAUGCAAGUCGAACGCAGUGGGGACGGGUGAGUAACACGUGGGUAACCUCCCAUCAGAGGGGAUAACACUUGGAAACAGGUGCUAACCCGCUACUGAUGGAUGUACCCGGGGUGCAUUAGCUAGUUGGGGAGGUAACGGCUCACCAAGGCCACGAUGCAUAGCUGACCUGAGAGGGGGAGCGGCCAAACUGGGACGUAGACACGGCCCAGACUCCGCCGGGAGGCAGCAGUGGGGAAUCUUCGGCAAUGGACGAAAGUCUGACCAAGCAACGCCGCGUGAGUGAAGAAGGUUUUCGGAUCGUAAAACUCUGUUGUGAGAGAAGCGGUAUCUAAACAGAAAGCAACGGCUAACUACGUGCCAGCAGCCGCGGUAAUAC
rnacentral:rRNA from 1 species